rnacentral:rRNA from 1 species
CCUACGUGGUGCAGCAGUGGGGAAUAUUGGGCAAUGGGCGCAAGCCUGACCCAGCAACGCCGCGUGAAGGAAGAAGGCUUUCGGGUUGUAAACUUCUUUUAAGAGGGAAGAGCAGAAGACGGUACCUCUUGAAUAAGCCACGGCUAACUACGUGCCAGCAGCCGCGGUAAUACGUAGGUGGCAAGCGUUGUCCGGAUUUACUGGGUGUAAAGGGCGUGCAGCCGGGAAGACAAGUCAGAUGUGAAAUCCCGCGGCUCAACCGCGGAACUGCAUUUGAAACUGUUUUUCUUUAGUACCGGAGAGGUCAUCGGAAUUCCUUGUGUAGCGGUGAAAUGCGUAGAUAUUAGGAGGAACACCGGUGGCGAAGGCGGCCUGCUGGACUGUGACUGACGUUGAGGCCCGAAGGCGUGGGGAGCAAACAGGAUUAGAUACCCUUGUAGUC